GACUAGAGUUUGAUCCUGGCCUCAGAACGAACGUUAGCGGCGCGCCUAACACAUGCCAAGUCGCACGAGAAAGGGCUUCGGCCCCGGUAAAGUGGCGCACGGGUGAGUAACACGUAGGUAAUCUCCCCUCAAGUGGUGGAUAACCCUCCGAAAGGAGAGCUAAUACAGCAUGAGACCACGAGCUCUUCGGAGCUUGCGGCCAAAGCAGGCCUCUACAUGUAAGCUUGCGCUGGAGGAUGAGCCUGCGGCCCAUCAGGUAGUUGGCAGGGUAAUGGCCUACCAAGCCUAAGACGGGUAGCUGGUCUGAGAGGAUGAACAGCCACACUGGAACUGACACACGGUCCAGACUCCUACGGGAGGCAGCAGUGGGGAAUCUUGCGCAAUGGGCGAAAGCCUGACGCAGCGACGCCGCGUGAGCGAUGAAGGCCUUCGGGUUGUAAAGCUCUGUGGGGAGGGAAGAAUAAGGGUUGGCUAAUAUCCAGCUCGAUGACGGUACCUCCUUAGCAAGCACCGGCUAACUCUGUGCCAGCAGCCGCGGUAA
rnacentral:rRNA from 1 species